rnacentral:lncRNA from 1 species
UCUUUUAGCAAUAUGUUUAGUUACAGUUUCUUUUUUUGUGAAGUUUGAGUUGAAUUUCUAUCAUUAACCUGUCACUGUAAGAAACUGAACAAGAUGUAGAUUUUUUUUUUUUUUAGGAAACUGACAUGAAACGGACUCGUUGAGGAAAAGACAGAGAAUGCAGCCUCUGGUGCUGUUUGAGUGAUCCCUCUCCCCCGGGCCUGGCCGCGUGCUGCUGUGUUCUGGAAAGGCUCAUUGUACAGUCAAGACGGCAGUCUUGAGGAUCCAUUUUCUGAGAUGGUAAUGGGAAAGAUGUUGGUUGUCAAGUGGAAUCUCAGCAGUCAUUUUCAGACAAAGUUAGAGAAAACAAGUAUGGAAGAUGCCUGAUUCUCAAAGAGUCAUCCAGCCUUGGGAUUACCGCCUAUGUC